UAGACACGUUUAGGGAUGCGUCCCGUUUCACAAAUUGGGCGCAUAGAUCGCCUGAAAAUCUAUAGUUCCCGUAACAUAUAUUAUAGAUUUCCGAACGAUCUAUACGCUCUAUGCGUGAAACGAGACGCAACCUAGAUGAGAGCGCUAACCCUCUUGGAUUCGUCCAUCAACAUAUAGUAGUGGUUGCGUUCCAUGCAUAGAUCGCUCGGGAAUCUAUAAUAUAUGUUACGUGAAGAGUAUAGAUUUUCGCCAUUUUAUAUCGUCGUUUUAGAUUUGGAAGGAUCCCCAUUCCCCUUCCUUAAGUUACUUGCUAGAUUUUACGAAGGUUAUUACUUUAUUCUCCGUCUCAAAAGACAUUUUGUUAAGCAAAAAAUUAUACGUGACUUUCGUGCGACUUUCCUGUGACUCUCCGUUUUUCUUUCGAAGAUUUGGAUGAAAUAAUUUUUGUCUUGUAACAGAUUAUAUCUGUGAUGAAAAACAGAUCCAUCAUGCCACCAAGAUGUGCAGAAUGGUUGCGACAAUAUUAUGUGAAAAUAGGCAACAAUAGUGUAAAAUGUGUAAUUUGUGAUAAUGAGUUUACAAUGUUGCGUACAACGUUGCUUGCAACUACAAACAAUAUUAAGAAACACGUACAGCAGCAGCAUGCAGUAUACUUAGAUUCCAUCAAAACUAAACGAAUCUGUUGGGAGCAAAGGUUCUAUAGAAAAGGAGAUACUAAAUUACAAUGUACUAUCUGCACAGAAGUUUUUUAUAUAACCACAUGUAUUAAUCCACGAUUAAAAAUUCAUUUACACGAACAUAAUCUUUAUGAAAAUACAACGCAUGAACGCCUUAAAUGGAUAAGAGCAUUUUUUGAUGGGACAAUAUGCAUAUUUUGCAGACAAAUUUUUAAAAGAAGCCCCGUGGCUUAUUACAUAAAACAUUUGGUUAAGGAUCAUCGAGUCGUAUUACCUUUCGGUGACAAAAGAAUACCUAGGGUACCAGGUGUAUCAGUCAAACCAAAAUGUGCAAGAUGGGUGCGACAAUAUUAUGUGAAAAUUGGCAAAAAUCGUGCAAAAUGUGGAAUUUGUAAUAAAGAGCUUAACAUGUUAAUUGCUCAGCCUCUUAGAACCUCAAACGGUUUCCAAGAACAUAUAGAGGAUCGUCAUCCAGCAUAUUUAAAUUCUUCCAUAAUUAAAAAAACUUUUUGGGAGACAAGAUUUUAUAAAAAAAUAGCUGAUAAAUUCCAUUGUGUUCUUUGCCAAAAUUUUUAUCGUAUAAAUGCAAGUAUUAACCCACGACUAAAAUAUCAUUUACAAUUGGAACAUCAACUUUAUAAAAAUACAAUGGUUGAACGCAUUCAAUGGCUCAACAAAUAUUUUAAUGGGACACAAUGCCAACUUUGCAAGUGCAGUUUUCGAAGAAGUCGCUCUGUUUACUAUAUAAAACAUUUGCUUAAGACUCAUCAAAUCGUUCCUUUCUGUGAACCAACUGGAAAAAGAGAGAAGGUUAUCAAAAAAUUCAAGUUGAAGGUUCAAUCGUAACAAACUCAAAUGUAAUAACAAAGAUACAGUUUUCACAACAAAUUUUGAAAGACAAUCGCUAUAUCAAGCAGCUAUCACUAAUAAUAUUGGCAAUUUUAAAUCGGACUUAUGGCUUAUUGUUACAAAUAAAUGAAGAAAUUAACGACCUCGACAACUUCUUUUCAUGUUUAUAUAACAUAGAGCAUCUUAUGAAUUAAAUAACCUUUUUUUGCAUACGACUUCUUAAUUAUUCUUAAUUAUAUUCUAACUAAUCAUCGAAUAUUUGAGACUUUUUAUUUCUUUAUUAAAACAAAGUUUUUUUAAUUCACGAAUAAAUUUAUUAACUUUCAUAUUGCGACAUGUAGAUUUUAAAAAGCAAGAUGAUAAUAUAAAAUAGCAUAAAAAUCAAGAGCAAAGACUUUAUUUUUUGCUACUAUGAUAUUUUUACAUUAUUAAAAUAUUUUUUCUUAAUUCCUUAAUAUGUAAAAAAAUAUGGUAUAAAAAGAACAAAAAAUUCCCUUUAAAAACAAAGAAAAGGGAAUAUAUAUCAAAAAUAUAGAUCAAAAAUUAUAUAAAUUUAUGAAACAAAAUAUUCAAGUAAAUAUGUAAUGAAACAAAUUUUGCUUUAGUAAGAAAUUUUAUGUAAUUAGUAAAUAUAUUUGUAAACAAACGAGAUUUCUCUUCUUUCUCGAUUUAUAGGACGUAGUGGUGUAAAAACCAGAUAAUGAGUUCCACACAAUAAGAAGAUUAGAUUGAAACGAGAUAGUAUAUGCGGUAGCUCUCGUGGUUAUGCUGUUUUAAUCGUUAAUUUGUUGUAGAUUAAUUAAAAGUUCGGAGUAGAAGCUUUAUAUCUCAUUAUUAGCAUUUCUCUGAGACAUACAAUAACGAAAAUAAUAUAUUUUGUCAACGACUACUAAACUGCCCAUCCAUACAUGUAUAUGCGCGCCUAAACAAAUGUUAAAUCGCCGAGUUACAAAUUAUUUUAUCCUCCGUUUGAUAAAAGACAAUUUUUAUAUUCGUUUUCUAAGAUGAAUUUAAACUGUCAAUUUUGGAAUUUCUCCGAACGACGAGAAAUAAUACAAUGAUAAGAAAUGUUAAAUGGACUUCAUGUAUCAAAAUAUUUAUAUUAUUAUAUGGAUAAGCAAAAAGUUAUGCGUUUCUCCAUGUCCUUUCUUGUUUUCGAAUUUCUUUUGAUGAAACAAUUUUUCUCCUGUGCUCAGUAAUAGUUAAGCAGUGAUACAAAGCAGAUAUAUCAUGUCAGAAUAUAAAAUGUGGGUGUGGCAUCAUUAUAAUGAACUAGGGAACAAUACGUUACAAUGUAAAAAGUGUUCAAAAGUUUAUGUGCAAUCCCUUUAUCAUAUGCAUGAUUUUCAAAUACAUCUUAGACAGAAGCAUCCGGAAGAAAUAUGUCAGAAGGUAGAUACAGGACCAAGAUGGGAGCGACAGUUUUGCGAUAUAAAUGGCGAUCGAAUCCGAUGCACUUUUUGCCAUAGAAAUUAUUAUGCAGGCAAACCUGCUAACGGGCUUCUAAAAACACAUUUGAAAGACGAUCAUCAAAUUUGUGAAAUUACUGAAAAGGAUGAACAGAUUAAUUGGCUGAAUAAUUAUAUUGAGGUAGAUGGGGCAAAAUGCCUAAGAUGCAACCACAUUUUUCGAAGAGGCUCAAAAUUUGUUUAUUUCACAAGACAUUUAAUAUAUAAUCAUGACAUUAUUCCACCUUUUGAUAGAUUUUCCCUCGAAUAAUUAUAUCAUAAGAGAAAAGAUUACUAAGAAAAUUCAAGUUGAAGGUUCAAUAAAGUUCGAAUUUAACAACAGAGAUACAGAUUCCAAAGCAAAUUUUAAAGACGAUGCUAUACAUCAAGCAGCUAUCGGCAACAAUAACGGCAAUUUUAAAUCAAACUUACAAUUUAUUGCUUCAAAGAAAUGAAGAAAUUAACGACCUUGACAAAUAUUAAUUUUUUUUGUAUUUUAUAUAAUAUAGCAACAUUAUGAAUUAAAUAUAACCUUUUUUUGCAUA